AUGUCCAGCCAGUUUUCCACCCCUUCAUCCCCAUCACGGGCAGGACAACCGCAGCAGCCUCAGGGUCAGCGAAGAACUCCAAGUGUGAACCCGUUACUCCUUAUCCUAUCACUACAGCGACAGAUGAAGAGUCCCUUUCUGCCUGCCCUGUAGCUCCUUCAGAUUCUGUACUGCAAGAGUGCACAUCACCUUACAAACACAGAGGAUGACACGGGCCUGCCCCGAGGAGUUUACAAUUCCACUUCAAACAAACACUGCAAAAAAUUCUGUGGACAGGAAAAGGUGGGAGAGGUAAUGCUGGCAGGGUAAAGAGUUUUCUGAAAGAGGGGAUUGUCUCCAGAAUAAAAAGCAGGUGACAGAGGGUCAGGCACAAGGAAGUGACAAACAGCAGUAGGACGACAAUGUGGAGCACAGGACACCUGGUAAAAACAGAUUGUGCAAAGACAGGCUGGCAGCACAUGGAGGAAAACAGGGACCUGUGGGCUUUAUAAUUAACAUGUAAGACUGCAGCUACAUAACACAUCAUUGUUUCAAUAACAUUGUGGAUUAUAAAUCAGAAGUGGCCUUUUUGUUUUUAAUUAAAAAAAAUAAAAAACCCAAACCAGUCUGUUCCCAUCAGGAAUUCUACUGUAAUACUAUUUUCCAUUAUGAGCACUAAACUGGGUGUAGGGGAAUACCAAAAAGCUCUGCAGAUGCAGAAAAAAAAAAAAAAAUCAAAGGGGGGGAAAAAAAAAGAGUAGCAAAUAUGUGUAAUUUAAAGAAAUCAUUCAUUUUACCCUACAGUAUCUGCUUUAAAUUUUGUAGCAUAUUUUCCAAAUUCAUCAGCCUGUCAAGAGGGAAAUCUCCUACUUGAAAAUAGUGUAGUGAUUUAUGGACAUAGUUAAAAUCUCAUUAUCCUGCAAUUUUCCUUUGCAGACAGAGCAUGAAGAGGCCAGGUUCUGCUGUGAGAGUUGAACAUUUCAGUUGCUGUAGCAGCAUUGCAGUGAAGUUGGUGUCUCAGCAAGAUUUGCCCCCUUUUCUCUUCGCAGACAUCUGUGUCCAGUUUCAUCUCAAGGAUCCAGAUAUAGCUUUACUCAGUGACUGUCACAGUGUAAGGGUCCUAUUCAGCAGAACAGCACAGAUUUUCUCUGCUCCUUCUGACAUAGUGCCAUUGCAUUAGUGCUAUAAAGGCUGUGUCAACAGGGCUUAGGUUCUGACAGAUUAGUGAAAGCAAAAAGCUGUCACCCUCCCUUCCCCACUCUGUGAAUUCCUUUUUUUUUUUUAGUACAAAUGCAUAUUAAAUGUAUGUGAGAGGCUGGGAGUAGUGUCUCCAGAAGGUGCAAUCACUUUGCACAGCAACACCUUUGACUCUUGAGGUACUCACAGGUCAGGUUUCUGCUUCCUUACAUUCAGCUGGGGUUGCUUCCAUGGAGAUCUUUCCCAUGGCCACCCUCCUUGCACUUCCCAUAUGGAUCAGGGUAAGGAGGUACAAAAGACAUAAAAACCCCCAAGUCCUACAAAUUCAGCAUUCAGGAAUUAUGAGAGCAGUUAAACACAUUGACCCAUAUUUGAAUUAUACAGAUAAAUGCAUUUUUGAUGCUAACUGCUGUGACUCUCCAGUCCACGGUCGCCCAUUUAUUUUUUUCCCCACAAGGUGGCUCAUGCACACAGGGAGUGCACCAGGAAUUGUCUUGGUCCUGGAAACACUCAGCUGAGAAAGCAGCAAUGCUGCUUUCCACUGCAAAUGUAUAUAACCAAUAAUUCUAUUUCCCUAAGCAUCAAAGGACAAGGCAAACUGCCCCUGAUCAACCACGUGUGACACAACCACCCCAGCUGUGUUUCUGCACUGGGUCAGACAAUGUGUAGAAGAAGCUGAAGGCAGACUCUUGCCCUCCAUUGACCCCACUGCUGCAGGAGGUGCAGCUCUGAAGCACUUAUGCCACAAUCAGUAGUGUGUUUGCACAUCUUGCAUGCAGAUGCAGGUUUUUGAUAGAUAAAUUUGAGCCUGCUCUUGAAAUCAGUUUGGUUCACAAUUGUCAAAAUAAAUUCCACCCCAUUAGAUCAGACCAGUGUUUCACUUCAGCCCAGCAUGUUUCCUCCAGCUUUGACCAAUUCUUCAAGACAGAACGCAGAUAAGUAUCUAUCUUUCCUUGGCAUAGCUUUCUUAUUUACAGCAACUUAAAGUCUCCCUGAGUUAGUGGAUGCAUCAUACCAUUG